rnacentral:rRNA from 1 species
AUGGGUUGGCGUUGGCACGACGACGGCGAGGGCGACCGUGGCCGCGGCGGGCUCGGCGACAUCCCCGACCUCGCCGGCCGAGGCGGCGGCGAGGGGGCGCACGUCGGCACGCGCCGGGUGGUGCAGUCCCGCUGCCACACGGAGGAGGUGGAGCCCGGCCGCUUCGUCCGCAAGUGCGAGAAGACCGAGCAGCUCCUCCGCGACUGCGUCGGCAGGCCUUCUGAACUGGUGGAGUCGAAAACUGAGAACACCGAAGAAGAUGUCACAGAUGAAAUGACCGGUGGUGCCUCGCGUUCUCUUGGCUUCCCAACAAAAGAGCCCUUUGCAUUUCCAGGACUUCGCAGUGACAUAGAAGCUAUUGAGAAAGGCUUCGGUAGCUUUCUGGAUGAAGCUGAGCGGAUGACCAACGAAUUCUUCAAAUCUUUUGGAUUUCCACCCAUUCAUGACGGGGACUCGAGACCAUUUCCUAGGCAACCUGCAGAGAGGCAUAUUGGGGAAGGUACUGCGAAGAAGCCCAAUGAGAAUGAGUACUCAGAAUUCGGUAGCCAGAUAACCGAUGUGUAA